UUUCAUACUCUAAUACUAAAGUACUCCGCUAGGGGUAACAUAUAUAUAUACAACAACAUGAACUAUUUCAAAGUAUAAUUAAUAUCUAUAUUACCAUCAUUUACUUUAAAAGUCUAGCCUCUACGAUUUUCCUAGUAAUUUCAAAAUGAACACUCCAAAGAGAAAUCUUUUACAUUGUGCUGUGUCAAUCUUCUACUUCCCUCAUUUGAACUCCGGUGAAGGUUAUUCUUAGCAUAGAUUUCCCAAAGCCAAGGACAUUCGAGCAAAAUGGAUCCAAGCUUGUCAUAUACAGGACCCAUACAAUCCCGAAACUGCCAGAGUUUGUUGUAUAGAUUUUGAGGAAGACUGCUUUCAGAGAAAUCUAAAGGCCGAACUCAUGUCUAACUACGGAAAGACUUUUAGUAGCAAGGUUCGGAAAACUUUGAAAUCAAAUAUUUUUCCUACUUUAUAUUUGGUUCCUGAAAGCUCUAUUCGAGCUGCGGAGACAGAGAAAUCAAAUAUUAAAAGGACAAAAAGGGUCUCCUCCAGGAACACAAAAAAAUUGUCAAUGAACUUCUCAUUACUCCCAAACAAGGAAGUUUGAAAGUUGAUAAGCCACCUGAAGAAUGCUCUUAUGCUAUGAAGUAUCAUUUGAUAUUUAAAGCCUUUUUGGGAUGUCUCCUUGGGAACUAUUGAAGAGCAUGUAAUACCACAACAAAACAUAAAUGUGUCAGACAGAUAUGUAUAAUGAACACUUUCUUCAUUGGGGGAAGGAAAAGAUAAGACUUCUCAUGAAAAUAAAUAGACUUGAAAAAAAAAAAAAUCUCUUCAAAGAGCAAGUUUGACCAAAAAUGCAUCUAAAAGAAGUGAAUGUAAAGCCUGUAAAUGUAAAUUAAGUAAAAAAAAAUCACCAAGUCAAGUCAAUGUUCUAAUGAAUGAUUAUGUUAACGCCAGACGUUAUAAAUGGACGGAGGAAGAUAUUCAGAGGUAUCUCAUUCUGAGCAAUGACUGGAGAAAAGCGUAUAAAUAUCUUCAGAAGAAAUUCCCCCCUUGCCAGCUUGAUCCACAUUAAGGAAAUUGAUUUCCAAAUUUAAAUGUGGUCCUGGAAUUCAAUACAAAUAUUUUAAAUAAACAAAUGGAUGAUCCAACUUAAUAUUAUUGAGACUUUAAUAUCAAUUCUUCAAAGUUCAGCUCUAGAUUUGCAACAAGAUAUGAUUAGAAAGUACACUCGUCUAAGAACAUUUAUAAGAAUUAAGGCCCUGAAUAUUAGUAUAAAUUAUCAAAAAAAUAAUGAAAUUUGUAGAAAAUUAAAGAAAUUAUCACAUAAUAUUUAAUUUUUUUUUGUUAUAAUUAAACCCCUUUAAUUCGUAAAA
rnacentral:lncRNA from 1 species